CCUGUAACCCAGCCUUCUCGUGGGGAGGCAGGAGCCCAGGUUUCUGGCUGCCUCUCAAGGGCAGAGCACCUGGCACAAGGGAACCGCUCAGCAAGCGCCCAACAGCCAAGUGACACCAGCAGCCGCUUCCACUCACCGAUCAUCCACCACGCGCCGAGGCAGGAGGAAUCGUAAUGAAACAGCGCUUGGAAUCUGGGCCCUUGGUGCAUGGUUGCUGAGCAAAUUCAAGAGCAGGCCCUCUGACCCUGCGUUCACUCGUCUGAAGGAAGCACCAACUGCUUAAUCAGACCGCUCUCAGCACAACUGAUGAAUAGAGGCCCCGGCUUUUGGGAAAAAAAAAAAAAAGAGGCAAAAAGAAAGAAAACGCUUCUGUAAAUCAGCUGUUUAUUUAACUUUCCCUGGCAUUUAAUG
ensembl:lncRNA